UCCCCAAGAAUUUGGGUGGUCACAAAUCCCGGACGAGAUUCCAACUGAAAGACUCCCAGAGUGGGGAGACCCUCACUAAAGCAUCAGAAUAGGCCAACACUCCAAUAACUCAAGAGAGACC
rnacentral:pre_miRNA from 11 species